AGCUUUGCACAGUCGUAGUAUCUUAGCCAGUGAGGUUUAUCUGAGGUGCAAUUAUUGCUAAUUGAAAACUUUUCUGAAAAGUUGGUUAAAAAUAUUAUAGGUUGGCUCAUACCUGUGAUCCCAGCACUUGGG
rnacentral:snRNA from 1 species